CAUCCUCGGCGGUCUCAUGACAUUAGCAGCGAGCAGCCGCCCUCUUCCCCGAGCUCGUAACCUAACAUUUGCUUGCUUUGGGAAGUCGUGCCUGCAGGUGAUCAUGCGGAGGGGUUGAGUGAUGGUAGGGAAAUGCGGAUUCGUCAACGAUGAGGCGGCCAGUUUGAGGAUCCAUGCAUUUGUAGCCUUUAUGAGUAUCUGAAUAGCGAAGAAAGACGCAUGGAGUUGAGCAAAGGGCGAAUUUGUGACGUUGAGGAGGUGGUAUGCACGGAAAGCAGGCAUAGCUGAAGGCUCGAAGAAGAAAAGCUAUAACUGAUGAAAAUGUUGAGUAAUUAGCUUCUGUAGCUGGACCAAUUGUUGUUGAACUGGAAUUCAAGCAGCCCGCCUAUGGGAUAGAAAAGAUUUGUGAAGCUGAUGACUAUCAGAUGCGAGUUCACGGCUAGAAACAUCCAAACAGUUGCCAGCUUUUGAGAAAGUGACCUCUUUGUGGGGACUAACUCAACUUCUGCUUCUGAUGCCUAAUCUGGAAUAUCUUUUCUAUCUACAUAUCAAAUUUUAUGGUGUAUGUCCACUUUGCUACCUCACAUGGUGGGUUCCACGCUCCUGCAGGAAGAAAAAGAAGUGUCGACCUUAAGGCAUCCUGCUGGCAAUUUGUUUUCACGUGAAAUUAUUGAUUGUCCAUUUCUAUAUGGUAAUUUGUUUCCUCAUCUACCUUUUAUUGCCAUGUCCUCCUUAUAAGUUUUCUAUUGUAAUUGUUUUUAACAUA